rnacentral:rRNA from 1 species
AGAGUUUGAUCAUGGCUCAGAUUGAACGCUGGCGGCAUGCCUUACACAUGCAAGUCGAACGGCAGCGCGGGGCAACCUGGCGGCGAGUGGCGAACGGGUGAGUAAUAUAUCGGAACGUGCCCUGGAGUGGGGGAUAACGCAGCGAAAGUUGCGCUAAUACCGCAUACGAUCUAAGGAUGAAAGCGGGGGAUUCGCAGGAACCUCGUGCUCCUGGAGCGGCCGAUAUCUGAUUAGCUAGUUGGUGGGGUAAAGGCCUACCAAGGCAUCGAUCAGUAGCUGGUCUGAGAGGACGACCAGCCACACUGGAACUGAGACACGGUCCAGACUCCUACGGGAGGCAGCAGUGGGGAAUUUUGGACAAUGGGCGAAAGCCUGAUCCAGCAAUGCCGCGUGAGUGAAGAAGGCCUUCGGGUUGUAAAGCUCUUUUGUCAGGGAAGAAACGGUGUGGGCUAAUAUCCCGCACUAAUGACGGUACCUGAAGAAUAAGCACCGGCUAACUACGUGCCAGCAGCCGCGGUAAUACGUAGGGUGCAAGCGUUAAUCGGAAUUACUGGGCGUAAAGCGUGCGCAGGCGGUUUUGUAAGUUUGUCGUGAAAGCCCCGGGCUCAACCUGGGAAUUGCGAUGAAGACUGCAAGGCUUGAAUCUGGCAGAGGGGGGUAGAAUUCCACGUAGCAGUGAAAUGCGUAGAGAUGCGGAGGAACACCGAUGGCGAAGGCAGCCCCCUGGGUCAAGAUUGACGCUCAUGCACGAAAGCGUGGGGAGCAAACAGGAUUAGAUACCCUAGUAGUCC